AACGGAAUAGAGAAAAAAACCAGCACCAUGGCGUUUAAAGAAAUCUUCGAACGUCAUGAUGCUGGUUUGUUUCUCUAUUCCGUU